CAGCCGCCGCGGUAAUACCGGCGGCCCGAGUGGCGGUCACUAUUAUUGGGCUUAAAGCGUCCGUAGCCGGGUUGGGAAGUCCUCCGGGAAAUCUGGCCGCUUAACGGUCAGAAUGCCGGAGGAUACUCCCAGCCUAGGGAGCGGGAGAGGCCGAGGGUAUUCCCGGAGUAGGGGGGAAAUCCUAUAAUCCCGGGAGGACCACCUGUGGCGAAGGCGCUCGGCUGGAACGCGUCCGACGGGGAGGGACGAAGGCCAGGGGAGCAAACCGGAUUAGAUACCCGGGUAGUCCUGGCUGUAAACGAUGCGGACUUUGUGUCGGACAAGCUAUGAGCUUGUCCGGUGCCGGAGGGAAACCGUUAAGUCCGCCGCCUGGGGAGUACGGCCGCAAGGCUGAAACUUAAAGGAAUUGCGGG
rnacentral:rRNA from 1 species